rnacentral:rRNA from 1 species
AUACCGGCAGCCCGAGUGGUGGCCACUAUUAUUGGGCCUAAAGCGUCCGUAGCCGGUCUGUAAAGUCUCCACUUAAAUCUCCGGACUCAAGCCGGAGGUUGGUGGAGAUACCUCCAGACUAGGGGCCGGGAGAGGCAGGAGGUACUCCCGGGGUAGGGGUGAAAUCCUAUAAUCCCGGGAGGACCACCGGUGGCAAAGGCGUCCUGCCAGAACGGGCCCGACGGUGAGGGACGAAAGCCAGGGGCGCGAACGGGAUUAGAAACCCCAGUAGUCC